UACGUAGGGUGCAGGCGUUAAUCGGAAUUACUGGGCGUAAAGCGUGCGCAGGCGGUUUCUUAAGUCAGAUGUGAAAGCCCCGGGCUUAACCUGGGAACUGCGUUUGAAACUGGGAGACUUGAGUGUGGCAGAGGGGGGUGGAAUUCCACGUGUAGCAGUGAAAUGCGUAGAUAUUGGGAAGAACACCGGUGGCGAAGGCGACCAUCUGGACGACAACUGACGCUGAGGCGCGAAAGCGUGGGGAGCAAACAGG
rnacentral:rRNA from 1 species